rnacentral:rRNA from 1 species
CUGGAAGACGACCAGGUUGAUAGGUUCGAGGUGGAAGUGCAGCAAUGCAUGCAGCUGACGAAUACUAAUCGGUCGAGGGCUUAUCCU